GAGGCUAUAGCUCAGUGGUAGAGUGCAUGCCUGGCCUGCACAAGGACCUGGGUUCAAUCCCCAAUAACUCCA
rnacentral:tRNA from 1 species